AUUGAACGCUGGCGGCAGGCCUAACACAUGCAAGUCGAACGAGUGGCGGACGGGUGAGUAAUGUCUGGGAAACUGCCUGAUGGAGGGGGAUAACUACUGGAAAAGGUAGCUAAUACCGCAUACCAUCGGAUGUGCCCAGAUGGGAUUAGCUAGUAGGUGGGGUAAAGGCUCACCUAGGCGACGAUCCCUCGCUGGUCUGAGAGGAUGACCGGCCACACUGGAACUGAGACACGGUCCAGACUCCUACGGGAGGCGGCAUUGGGGAUUAUUGCACAAUGGGGGCAAGCCGGAUGCGCACCUGCCGCGUGUAUGAAGAGGGCCUUCGGGUUGUAAGGUCCUUUCAGCGGGGAGGCGUUACCCGCAGAAGAAGCACCGGCUAACUCCGUGCCAGCAGCCGCGGUAAUAC
rnacentral:rRNA from 1 species